CAAAACAGCAGGAGCUGCUACUUCUUUUUUUUUAAAACUUUGAUCAUCAGCCAUUUAAAAGAAUGUUAUAUUCAGAGAUAUAGAGUCAGCUCGAACUCAUCCGUGCUGGAACAUUACCAUAUUUCACUUAAUCACAUUCGUCGCACUGCUGUAAAUACUGUCGUGAAAGGAGCCGCUAAUGAGUUUGGCAAAGAUGGAGCAUUGCUCUUCAGGUGUGUAGUUCACUGGCGGAAUCAUAAUAUAUGAUUAAUGAGACAAUAUUCUUAUGAAAUUAUACAUGGCCCAAUUUUGCUUAGGUAACUGCGUUUAAAUGUCAGCGUGGUUGGUACACAUUUCUAGUCCAUUUAGAACCAGCAUUUUUCACACUGUCAAAGCAACUUUUUUUCUCUUUUUUUUUUGAGGUCCGAUCCAAAAAAGUAACAACCAUCUGUCCCAUUCAUAAAAUAUCAAUGUAACUUACUGGGUACAAGGUAGCCAAAGUGGCUGAAGUUAAAUCGGGACAUGGGCAUUGUCAUCUCUCAUUCAUGUUCACGCGGUCUUAUUAUUAUUAGAAAGUAGCUCUCAAACAGUCUUCAAACACACGCUGACUAACCCCUUGCAUGAUUUAAUAACACCCAACUCUUAUGUUGGAUAUGAUUUUAUGAUACAAGUUCUUCCGCCGGGCUUCGUUUGCAUGUCAUCUUCCUCCCACAAUCCCAAAACAUGCAUGUUAGCAUGAUUGAGGACUCUUAAUUGUCCAAAGUCGAGAAUAUGAACGUGAAUGUUUAUUUUUUUAUGUUCCCUGUAAUUGGUUGAUAACCAGAACAGGGGGUUGCUCAUUUAUGUUCAAAUCAGGAGUUUUAUCCCUAUGCUAUGCUGUAGAUGCACUUCUUCUAGGUUUG